CUCACAGACCGUAGCUCUAGCUCAAACGGUUCUCUAACAGCAACUGCCGCAAAAAAUGAGUGAGGGCGCUAUUUAUGGGGAUACAAUGGGGGGCGUGGCUUAAUGGGAAUAAUUUCGGCGCUGAGUGCAUGCCCGCGCCUUCUAGCGGUCGAAAUAACAAUUACAUACUGUUUAUAAAUGACAUAUUGUUGGAGAUAGUGUUGUAGUGCAUGAUAUCUCCGCGUGGUGCAGCCCUUCCGGAGGGAGCGAGCCCGAAAAAACCUUAGAGAUCGGACUCGCGAAAAGUAACGUCGCGCGUGGCUUAUUUACAUGGAGUUCUCAAACCAUGUAAUCAUAGACUCUGCCUUCACUUUUUUCAAUGGGUGUACAGUACCGGUCCACUUAUAGAACCGCCUAGCUGUGGAACCGGCUCGGUUAUCGAACCGAUUUUUCUUUGCCGUGUUUCAGCGCCACCGUUGGCCGUAUUAUGAACUAGACCUAUUUUUCCAUGGCGGGAAUCAACGGGUUUUGCUUUGUAAAACAUGCACAAAAUAUUAUUGCAAUGGGUUUUAUCUUUUUAGGCAAUGUUGUAAGUAGGUUCAAUGACCCAACUAAUUAUAAUAGGCGGCAAAGUGAUUCAUACCGGAAACAAUAGAAAAUAAAUUAGUUACUGUGUUACUUUUCUCUGUGUCUGUUAUGAAAUGGGAAAGCUUUGACUGUGGAUGGUCCCACAGCAGUGAAGAUACACUUGUAUCUUACCAUUUAUAUUCAUAGACUAUGUUAAACAUAGAUUUAAAAUGUUUUUAAGAUAAUCUAUGCAGCGAUUCGAACACGGGACUCUAGAUCCAUAGCGAACAUUAUUACCACUGCGCUAUAUACCCUUACAAGAUUAUUCUAAGAACGCCAAAGUUUGAGGGAUGAAAGAAUCGACGAUAGGUAGCAUUAAGAUCGAUUGCUUGGCUAUAGAACCAUUCAGUUAUAGAACCGCGCAGAGGCCGGUUCUAUAACUGGACCGGCACUGUAGUCGACUGUUAUAGACUAGUCUGUCACAGUCGACUGUUUAAUGAGAUUCUCGUGCGAUCGUAUAGCCCCUUACUAUUAUAUCGUGCGUUCAUACUCUGCCUAGAAGUUGAAGCAUACAUUAGAGGUCCCAGAACUGUCGUCUGCUAGGUGUUUCGUCAGCUAUUUCCGCGGACAAAUUUUGGGGCACUCGCUAGGGGCGCUGACUACCCGGAUCAGUCAUAACAUUCCCUCCAUAACGUUGUCAACAAUGGGGAAAGUAGUCACUUGUGACUGUUUUUCGCGCUGUUUUCUUCUGUAUUAAAAAUAAAAAAAAUUUACUACACAAAUAAAGAAAAUCUGAAUCAUCUCUUUGUAUUAUAAACCUUAACAUACAUUAAUACACAUUAAUUAACCAUAUUAGACAGUUUGCGCAGCUUAUGCUGCUCUUCUUUUGAUUUCUGGCUAACCUCAUUUUUUAACCGUUUCGCUUCCAUGUGAUAUCGGAUUUCUAUGUAUUCAAACAUUACAAAUGGGACCAUUUCCGUGCGAUGUUUGUCGCAACAGAAUAAAAACUUACAACAAUUUUUAGCUGAACUGGAGAACUGGGAAUUGAAUGCUUCAAAUUCCGUAAUUUCAUUUCCUCCACAGACAAAAUUUCAAGAAAUUUUUGUAGAAUCCACAUCAGAUACAACAGGGGCUUCAAAUGUGUCUGAAUUUGGACUUUGAGCCCCAGUUAGUGCUCCGAAAAAACGGCGAAAUAAUUCG
rnacentral:lncRNA from 1 species